GGCGAACGGGUGAGUAACACGUGAGGAAUCUGCCCUGUAGACCGGAAUAACCACGGGAAACUGUGGCUAAUGCCGGAUAUUCUCACCGCUCCGCAUGAAGCGAUGAGGAAAUGGUCAGCCGCUACAGGAUGACCUCGCGGCCUAUCAGCUUGUUGGCGGGGUAACGGCCCACCAAGGCAACGACGGGUAGCUGGCGUGAGAGCGCGAACAGCCACACUGGGACUGAGACACGGCCCAGACUCCUACGGGAGGCAGCAGUGGGGAAUCUUGCUCAAUGGGCGAAAGCCUGAAGCAGCGACGCCGCGUGCGGGAAGAAGGCCUUCGGGUUGUAAACCGCUUUCAGGAGGGAAGAAGCGAAAGUGACGGUACCUCCAGAAGAAGGACCGGCCAACUACGUGCCAGCAGCCGCGGUAAUACGUAGGGUCCAAGCGUUGUCCGGAAUUAUUGGGCGUAAAGAGCUCGUAGGCGGUCCGUUAAGUCGGAAGUGAAAUCUCAAGGCUCAACCUUGAAAUCGCUCUCGAUACUGGCGGACUUGAGGCAGGUAGGGGAAGGUGGAAU
rnacentral:rRNA from 1 species